rnacentral:rRNA from 1 species
UGAGUCCUACGGGGCGCAGCAGUGAGGAAUAUUGGUCAAUGGUCGGGAGACUGAACCAGCCAAGCCGCGUGAGGGAGGAAGGUACAGAGUAUCGUAAACCUCUUUUGUCAGGGAACAAAGACUGGGACGCGUCCCCGGAUGAGUGUACCUGAAGAAAAAGCAUCGGCUAACUCCGUGCCAGCAGCCGCGGUAAUACGGAGGAUGCGAGCGUUAUCCGGAUUUACUGGGUUUAAAGGGUGCGCAGGCGGUCUGUUAAGUCAGCGGUCAAAGCCCGGGGCUCAACCCCGGCCCGCCGUUGAAACUGG